rnacentral:ncRNA from 2 species
GAAGGAAUCAUAGCGCCCGGCUGGAAACAGUGACGAGGAAAGAGGAGUAUCGAAAGACUCGGCGGAUGCCUCUUCGGCAAGCGGUUGUCGAAAGAUGAAGGACAAAGGAGACAAAUUCUUCAUCGAACCGCGCA